AAUUGUCAAAUGUCCGGUGGAUCACCCGUGUUGCAAUUUGUGGAAAUAAUUUUCGCGCAGGAGCAAAGGGGAAUUUCUCUCUGCACUUUGACUUGAAGCUCACAUGUCAAGGCACCAAUGAAACGGUAAUGAGGUAGACGGAGAGUGUUGCCCAACGCCGGCCUCAAACAACUAACCAUGCCGACAGUUUAGCACCCUCCGACUGUGACAAAUUUCACAGGGAGCUUAUUUUUGUUCUUUUUCUCUCUCCUUUUUCUGCCUAUUGUGGUCACACCAAGUUUUAUAGGUAAUUUUCUGCUUCCCUGGCUUCCAAUGAAUAUGUGUUCUUAUUUCUUUUGGGUUGUUCAGAAACUGCUGUUUCUAUAUUCUGGGUUUCUUUUUGAGCUUUUAUGAUUGGAGACAUUUUUCUCUUAACGGAUAGUAAGGGUUUACUCAGGAAAUUUGUUUUCUAAGAUUAUUUUAGUUGUUGUCUACUCGCAGUAUUUGCAUUUCUAUUUGGUUUUGUUUACUUUAAUAGCUGGAAAAAUAUGCUUUUGGAGCUUGGUUUUUGUUCCUUUGUUCUGGGUAUUUUCUUGCAAUUUUUAUUGAAUUAUUGGUAUGUUCAGCUUAACUUGCUACUGUAUGUUGAAAUGCAACAAUCUCUAAGCCAAUAGGUGGAGCUAAUAAUUUUACUUUGGGUUGGGGGGGCGGGCGGCGGGGGUUGUGGUGUGGGGUGCGGCGAACAACUUUUAUAUUAUCAUAGAUUGGAUUCCACACCCCUGCUUGUAGUUGCUAAACGUAGAUAUUAAAGGGUAUUACACGUAUUUUUUUUCAUUAUCUCAAGUAUAUUGAACUGUAUUAUUGCAAUUUUAAAUAUAUUUUUCAGUAGGAAUUUUUUAAUGCAAAAAGUAAAGAACUCCUAAAAUAUCAAAAUUUUACAUUUAAAUGGAAAGAACAAAGCAAAUAAUUUUUUAGGUGUGAAAUGUUAAAAUUCAUAAUAGACGGUGACAUAGAAAGAAUAUGUAAAACUCUAUAUACAACCAAAUUAUAAUUUUUCUUAUAUGUCAAAUGCUAAAUUUAAUUAUAGAUAAAUUUAUGGACAACUUGGUGGGGGCCAUGGCCCCCUCUAGCCCCCAAAUGGCUCAGGUUCGUGACUCUCCAGGACUUUUGACUUGGUAGACAAUCAGUCCUACUUGACACAUUUCCAAUUGAUUUCUACUCCUCUGCUUAAUUGUUAUUCAUGUUUUUGCCUUUUCUUCUGCGUGGAAUGGGAUUUACAUACAUUUCUUAUGUUAUUGAUUCUCUAGCAGAGGAGUCAACAAGUAGGAGACGAGAAUUGCUUUGAGGUAGUAGAAAUUAUGCAUUGAAUCAGUAAGCAAUUGACAUUAUCCAUUUUGGCUGUAGUUUCAUUGUAGGAUUUGGCAUAAAUGGCAUUGGAGCUCAUACCUAUAGGAACCAUUUUGGCUGUGCUGACAAAUCAAGUCCUGAAAACAGCUCAGGCUGCAAAGGAUGUUCUAAUUGAGAAGGAGAGUUUCAAGGUUCUGUCCAAGCAUCUAUUUGAUAUUGAACCUGUGUUAAAGGAAUUGCAACUACAAAAAUUGAAUGAUUCUCAAGCUGCAAGACUAGCACUUGAAACACUUGAAGCAGAUGUCAAGAAGGCUAAUAACUUGGUUGAGGAAUAUAAAUAUUGAGCCCAUUUCUAUUUCUUGUUGAGAUGCAGGCACAUCGUCAAUGAGGUAUGGAAGUCACUAGGGAUAUUGGAAGGUCUUUGGCUGCAUUAUCCCUUGCAAAUACUGAAGUCCUUGCAGGGAUAUCUGACCAGGUGAAUAGGAUACAGAAUGAAAUGCAAAGGGUGGAAUUGGAAGCAUCAAUUUCUCAGCUUCAAAUUGUUGACAAGUUAAACCAGGGUCUUCACAAUCAGAAACUCAACCAGACUUUUGCAAAUGGCAUGCUUGAAGAAAUAGCCUGGGCAGUUGGGGUUCCAGUAGAACCUUCAGAGAUAAGCAAAGAACUAGCAAGAAUGCUAUUCAAAAUAAUCAUCUCUUCUUCCGGGACUAUUUGGGUGAAUAGAUCUGUAGUCACACCUUGUCUCUAUUGGUGAGGAUUCAGGAAUUCUUUGUAAAUGAAUACCUAAAAUACUCGUUGAUGUUUUGGCAAUAAAAUAUUUGUGCAGAUUAUAUAGUGAUAGUAGUUAUGAUGGUGUUUGGAGAUUAACUUUGUGCCGAAGGAAACUUAAUUUUACGUCUGUAUAACCAUAAGGAAUAAAUUGGUGGGAGGCUUGAAUGUUCUGCAGAAACUGCAAAAGGUGAUUUGAAACCUCCACGCUUCAACACAUUAG
rnacentral:misc_RNA from 1 species